rnacentral:rRNA from 1 species
UACAGAGGAGCCAAGCGUUGUCCGGAUUGACUGGGCGUAAAGCGCACGCAGGCGGCAUCGCGCGUGGGGUGUGAAAUCUGGCCGCUUAACGGCCAGGCGCCAUCCCAUACGGCGAGGCUGGAGCGAUGCAGAGGUCGGUGGAAUUGCCGGUGUAGUGGUGGAAUGCGUAGAUAUCGGGAGGAACACCAGUGGCGAAGGCGGUUGCCUGGAGCUUUGCUGACGCUGAGGCGCGAAAGCGUGGGGAGCGAUCCGG